GAUGGCCAGAGGAAGGAUGAUAGACAGGUAUCUUGCAGAAGAAGAUGGGAGCGUUCUACCUGUGAGCCUGGUCGAGCUUAUAUUUUAUGGAUACACAUGCAUGGAUACACAUACAUGGAUUCCCUACAAGGACCCUGCGCAUCAAAAGCAAUCUGUCAUCAAUGUUAAGUAGACAGAUUAAACGAAACGAAGAUAUGACAGGUGUACACCAUAUUUUUCUUUCAUUUAACCUCUGCAUGUUUCCCAGUCAAUAAAUGUUUUUAUCCAUUUUCUUUUGUUGAGAAAUGUCUUUGUACAGCACAAGUGUCGUAGAAGGUGCAUACAUGCACUUUUGUAUGAUGCUUGGCUGCAUGUGUAUCAACCAGCAAACACAUUGUCAGGCACAACUAAUAUGUGAUUCCGUACUAUCAUCCGGACAUAUCAUAAAUCUUAUCAUGCACUGUAAUAGUUCUGUUUCAGGAAUGUUAUGAAUGUCAUUGGCCACGAAGCACAAGCUUGGCCGAGGGUCAUUGCAAACAGGAUGUUUCAUACUCACAAGAAAGUCACUCAUAAGGACACAUUAGAAUGACGGUGGCCAAUAUGUUUUUGAAUGACAUUAUGAGUACAUUAAAACAAUUCU